AUUUGUAUAGUUUAAAAAAAAAAUUUUAUAUUUUCAAUGUAAAGAUGAUUUAAAUCUACAAAUA
rnacentral:tRNA from 1 species